UACGAAGGGGGCUAGCGUUGCUCGGAAUUACUGGGCGUAAAGGGAGCGUAGGCGGACAUUUAAGUCAGAGGUGAAAUCCCGGAGCUUAACUUCGGAACUGCCUUUGAUACUGGGUGUCUUGAGUGUGAGAGAGGUAUGUGGAACUCCGAGUGUAGAGGUGAAAUUCGUAGAUAUUCGGAAGAACACCGGUGGCGAAGGCGACAUACUGGCUCAUUACUGACGCUGAGGCUCGAAAGCGUGGGGAGCAAACAGG
rnacentral:rRNA from 1 species